UACGUAGGGGGCUAGCGUUGUCCGGAUUUAUUGGGCGUAAAGAGCUCGUAGGCGGUUUGUCGCGUCGGCUGUGAAAACCUGGGGCUCAACCCCGGGCCUGCAGCCGAUACGGGCAAACUAGAAUUCGGUAGGGGAGACUGGAAUUCCUGGUGUAGCGGUGAAAUGCGCGGAUAUCAGGAGGAACACCGGUGGCGAAGGCGGGUCUCUGGGCCGAUAUUGACGCUGAGGAGCGAAAGCGUGGGGAGCGAGCAGG
rnacentral:rRNA from 1 species